AUUGAACGCUGGCGGCAGGCCUAACACAUGCAAGUCGAGCGGAGCGGCGGACGGGUGAGUAAUGCAUAGGCAUCUGCCUGGUAGUGGGGGAUAACGUCCGGAAACGGGCGCUAAUACCGCAUACUAUCAGAUGAGCCUAGGUCGGAUGAGCUAGUUGGUGGGGUAAAGGCCUACCAAGUCGACGAUCCGUAACUGGUCUGAGAGGAUGAUCCGCCACACGGGAACUGAGACACGGUCCAGACGCCAAAGGUGGGCAGCAGUGGGGAAUAUUGGACAAGGGGCGAGAUCCUGAUCCCGCCACGCCGCGUGUGUGAAGAAGGUCUUCGGAUUGUAAAGCACUUGAAGUUGGGAGGCGUUACCAACAGUAUAAGCACCGGCUAACUUCGUGCCAGCAGCCGCGGUAAUUC
rnacentral:rRNA from 1 species